rnacentral:rRNA from 1 species
AGUGAACGCUGGCGGUAGGCCUAACACAUGCAAGUCGAACGGCAGCACAGUAAGAGCUUGCUCUUACGGGUGGCGAGUGGCGGACGGGUGAGGAAUACAUCGGAAUCUACUUUUUCGUGGGGGAUAACGUAGGGAAACUUACGCUAAUACCGCAUACGACCUACGGGUGAAAGCAGGGGAUCUUCGGACCUUGCGCGAUUGAAUGAGCCGCUGUCGGAUUAGCUAGUUGGCGGGGUAAAGGCCCACCAAGGCGACGAUCCGUAGCUGGUCUGAGAGGUUGAUCGGCCACACUGGAACUGAGACACGGUCCAGACUCCUACGGGAGGCAGCAGUGGGGAAUAGUGGACAAUGGGCGGAAGCCUGAUCCAGCCAUACCGCGUGGGUGAAGAAGGCCUUCGGGUUGUAAAGCCCUUUUGUUGGGAAAGAAAAGCAGCAGGUUAAUACCCCGCUGUUCUGACGGUACCCAAAGAAUAAGCACCGGCUAACUUCGUG